GAACAAUCUGAUUUUCUCCUGAUUCUCCUGCAAAGUAGUGGAAGCCUGUGUCACAGGUUAGACUCCACUCGAAGCUGACUUUAAGGUGAAGACCAGCAUAUGUCAGGGCUUAUUUACAUGAAGGGAGCUCUCUUGGGAUCAAUAGAGAGAAGGUGCCAAGUCAGUAAGAUAAGCAGCUGAUUUCCCAUCAGAAACCAUGAAGGCCAGAAGACAGUAGGAAGCAUCUUCCAAGUGCUAAAAGAAAGAGGGCCAACUAAGAACACCAUCUGAUGCAAAACUGACCUCAAAAAUUAAGGUGAGUGUAAGACAUUUCAACACCAAACCAACAAAGAACCUGCUUUAUAAGAAACACAAAAGACAGUCCUUUAGGCUGAGAUGAACAGACCGUACAAAGCAGCUCCAAUCCACAUGAGGGAACAAAAAGUGCCCAUAAAGAAAAUUACACAGUUAACAAUCAAAGACAAUAAAAUAUUUUUUCUUGGUAA